rnacentral:rRNA from 1 species
GUGCCAGCCGCCGCGGUAAGACAGAGGGUGCAAACGUUGUUCGGAAUUACUGGGCGUAAAGCGCGUGUAGGCGGCUUUGCAAGUCGGGCGUGAAAUCCCAUGGCUCAACCAUGGAAGUGCACUCGAAACUGCAGAGCUAGAGUCCUGGAGAGGAAGGUGGAAUGCUUGGUGUAGAGGUGAAAUUCGUAGAUAUCAAGCGGAACACCGGUGGCGAAGGCGGCCUUCUGGACAGUGACUGACGCUGAGACGCGAAAGCGUGGGGAGCAAACAGGAUUAGAUACCCGUGUAGUCC